rnacentral:lncRNA from 1 species
CUAUUUCUUAUAAUUGUCAUAAACUAUCUAGCUUCACAGUUUUGCUAGUCAGUGAGCACUCAAUAAUGCAUUAGGAUCAUAAAGUAAUUUCUCAAGAGUACAAAUAAAACCUUUCAAUUAAAUUUUAAAAAUUGUCUACAAUUAUGUUUUUAUGCUAUAUACACUAUGCAAAGAAACAGAAGACAUGACUUCUACCUUUAUGCUGUUAAUAAAUUACUAGAUAAAACAUAUAUACAGAUUUAUUCAUUUCACAUUUAUUUACUGCUGGCUACAUCCAAAAUAGGCACUGCAUGUGGUCAGAGGACCGUGGGACAAGGACCUGCCAGUCACCCCCAAAUCCAUGGAUGAAUUUGUCAAGACAAAAUCCUGGGAAAAUAACUAUCCAUGUGGAAAAAUGCCAUUGGCCUUGAGAUAAGACUUUCUUUACCUGCCUGGUUUAGAAAAAACCCAUAUCUGUAUAGGGACCCUUAAUCGUCUCAGUUCCAGCUGUGUUUCUUACCUCUUCCAUUUUUUACCCACUUCUGCCUGGCUUCUCAUGAUGGCCAUGUAUUUGUGGACUUGAAAAAAGUAUAGUUGAAAGUCAUUAGUUUCUCUGCUGAUUUCUGAAUACUAUUCAGUUUCUGAUUCAUGAGCGUUCAGAAUCUUAGCAGCUAGCUUUGAUAUGGCCUUGUUUAUGCACAGUGAGAUCUUUUCUGAUGGUUGAUUAUCAGGAUGGCCUUCCUCCCAAACGACUUCCCUUUCCUACUUUUCAAAUUUGACUCACUAAAAUUAAUUUUACAGUUGACAUUUUGUAGUAUUUCAUUAGCUUCUCUUAACAUUUGAUUACAGUAUUAUCACACAAAUGGGAAUGGUGCACACACUGAAAUGAAAGGCUAUUGUCAUUAUGUAAGAGGUGAAAUUUUUAUAUUUUCCUUUCCUAUGGUUGGGGCAGUUUUGUUAGCCUGAUGGAUAGAGACCAAUUUUACACUCACAUUAUUACCAGGCCAUCAAGAUUGCAUGACCAGAGUCAGAGUCUGUGAGUAGGCGGUCCAGAUAGGUCAGCAACACUUAUGGACAUUUGAUUUCUGACAACAAAACUCCUCAACGGUCCAGGUCAGUUUUUAGUCUUAGAGAUUACAAACAGCCAUGAUACAUUUUAUCCCAUUUAAACAUGACACCUCUGUAAAACUUUAUUUUAUUUUUUAACCUCCAGAUAACCCCUGAGGAAACCAAGGCUCAGAUGAAUGAAGGGACUUUUCCUGGGAUUCAAAAUUAGGCCUAACUCUAAAUGAGUACAAAUAGCUCAUAUUUAUCCAGGCAGGACUCUAAGCGUUUUACAGGUAUUAACUAACAUAAACCUCACAACAACCCUUUAAGGGAGGUAUUAUUUUUGCCCUAUUUCACAGACAAAUAAACUGAGGCACAGAGAGGGUGACCUCCCAAAUUCCCACAGCUACUAAGUGGCAGAACCUGACCACAAACUUGGGCUGAACUCUGUUAUGCUGACUGUGUAGGACUUGGCAUGUUGGAUGACCACUUCGGCAUCUCACAUAGGUGUUAGAAUUCAGUAGGAUAAAAUGUAUCAUUACUUCUUGUAAGGAAUGAAAGUUGACCAAGAGAGCUGGGAGAAGUUCAGAAUCAGAAAGGAAGUGUGCACAUGUUAUAUUGAUGAGGGAUGUCCCAGCCAGUUUGAGUGUAAGUGUCAUCAAUAGAAUCAGAGUAAAUGCUGUCAGCAGCUUUCCCUUCAUUUACCAGCUUCCUACUUGGAACUUCCUCUAGGUGGUUAAGGAAUAAAGGUCAGAAAGUUAAGGGCAGGAAAUAAAAAUAAUUGUAGGUCAUAGGUCCAUUCCAUAGUAUUAUUAAUAUACUCUGCUUUCUUUUUGUGACCACACCUUCAGCAUAUGGAAGUUCCCCAGCCAGGGUUCCAAUCUGAGCUGCAGCUGUGGUCUGUGCCACAGCCACGGCAACACAGUAUGCAAGACACAUCUGAGGCCUAUGCUGCAGCUUUCAGCAACACCGGAUCCAUAACCCACUGAGCGAGGGCAGGGAUAGAACCCCUAUCCUCACAGAGAUAAUGUGGUGUCCUUAACCCACUGAGCCACAACAGGAACUCCUGUCUUUGUUUUAAAUUAUCACUCUCUCGGAGUUCCCAUUGUGGCUUAGUGGUAAUAAAUCUGACUUAGUAACCAUGAGGAUUUGGGUUCAAUCCCUGGCCUUGCUCAGUGGAUUAAGAAUCUGGCAUUGUUGUGAGCUGUGGUGUAGGUUGCCAACACUGCUCGGAUCUGGUGUUGCUGUGGCUGUGGUGCAGGCUGGCAGCUACAGCUCCGAUCUGACAUCUAGCCUGGGAAUUUAAAAAGCAAAUAAAUAAAUAAAUUAUCACCCUCUCAUUAAGAUUGUUUUUGCAAGUUGCCUACUAGGAAAUUCAAGAGGCUUAUAGUGAAAAACUUAGGAAAAAAUUUUUUUCCAUUCAGAUUCCACAAAUCUUAAAAUUUCACCGGGAGAUUCAUUUUUCUCUAUAUGUUAGAUGUCUUUGGCAUUGUCUCUACUUGCUGGAAAAAUCAUUUAUUUUUGUCUUGGGUAAAGAGCUUCUGUCCAUUUAUAACUUAAAACUACCUGGGGAAUUUGCUGAUUACCCAGAGAAUCUGAUCAAUGUAAACAACCAAAGCAGAUAAUAAAGGUUGAAAUAACUUAAAAAAAAAUAAGUUUUUGUUGUUAAGUCCAUGCAGAUCAUUGUCU